AAAGGUUUGGUCCCGGCCUUCUUAUUGGUUACUAGGAAACUUAUACAUGCAAGUAUCCGCCCGCCAGUAAUAC
rnacentral:rRNA from 1 species